rnacentral:lncRNA from 1 species
AAUGAUCAGAUCUAGAGAGAAUGAGGUCUGGUGGUUGAUCAAGCACUGGUAACUACAGAAAAGGGACGAAAAUAGAAAUGGAGAUAGAAAAGGAGUGGGAGAAAGAGAGGAAGGAGGAAAAGAAUUAAGGGAGGAAAAAAAAAGUAGGGGCCUAAUCAAUAGUUGGAUCUAGCCAACAGCAUUGAGAACCAAGGGAAGAGGGAGGAAGAUAGGAAGAGAGCUGGAGGAGGAGGAGGAGGAGGGAGAAAGAGAGACAAAGGGAAAAGAAAAAGGAACAUAAAAGAGAGGGAGGAAGGAAGAGAGAGGGAGAAAGAAAGUUGGAGGAGAUAGAAGAAGGGGAACGAGAGGGAGGGG